CCAGACUCCUACGGGAGGCAGCAGUGGGGAAUAUUGGGCAAUGGGCGCAAGCCUGACCCAGCAACGCCGCGUGAAGGAAGAAGGCUUUCGGGUUGUAAACUUCUUUUCUCAGGGACGAAGAAAGUGACGGUACCUGAGGAAUAAGCCACGGCUAACUACGUGCCAGCAGCCGCGGUAAUACGUAGGUGGCAAGCGUUAUCCGGAUUUACUGGGUGUAAAGGGAGCGUAGGCGGUGAUGCAAGUCAGAAGUGAAAGCCCGCAGCUCAACUGCGGGACUGCUUUUGAAACUGUAUGACUAGAUUGCAGGAGAGGUAAGUGGAAUUCCUAGUGUAGCGGUGAAAUGCGUAGAUAUUAGGAGGAACACCAGUGGCGAAGGCGGCUUACUGGACUGUAAAUGACGCUGAGGCUCGAAAGCGUGGGGAGCAAACAGGAUUAGAUACCCCUGUA
rnacentral:rRNA from 1 species